rnacentral:misc_RNA from 1 species
AAAAUUAUUGCCCGAGGGGAACCACCGCCUCAGUCUGUCAUCAAACAUUGUAAACAUGGCAGAGUAUCUGGCAUCGAUUUUCGGCACCGAAAAGGAUAAAGUGAACUGUAGCUUCUACUUCAAAAUAGGAGCAUGUCGUCAUGGAGAUCGCUGUUCAAGAAUUCACAACAAGCCAACAUUUAGUCAGACUGUCCUCAUCCUCAACCUCUACUGUAACCCCCAGAACUCUGCUAAAUCAGCUGAUGGAUCACACUCCACAGUUAGUGACGAAGAAAUGCAAGAACACUAUGACAACUUUUUUGAGGAAGUUUUUGUAGAAUGUGAGGAUCGCUAUGGAGAAAUUGAGGAGAUGAACGUUUGUGACAACCUUGGUGAUCAUCUAGUGGGCAAUGUUUACAUCAAGUUCAAAUAUGAAGAGGAUGCAGAGAAGGCAGUUGUAGACCUAAAUAAUCGAUGGUUUGGAGGACGGGCCAUCAAUGCAGAGCUGAGUCCUGUAACAGAUUUCCGUGAAGCGUGUUGUCGCCAGUAUGAAAUGGGUGAAUGUACCCGCAGUGGCUUCUGUAAUUUUAUGCACCUCAAGCCUAUAUCUAGAGAACUACGGAGAGAACUUUAUGGCCGGAAAAGAAAAAGUAACCACGGUGCUGAAGAUGGUAGGAAAAAGUGAAAAUACGUUUCCAUUGGGCAGAAAAUUGACAUGGCAUGCGAGUGGUGUGAGGGAGGCGAGAGCGGCAACAGACUGAUGGCAUUGAGAAGUGAGGGAAGGGGGAAGGGAGUCCCUGACACCCUUCCUCCCUCACCACAUUUUGAUCACCAGCUCGGGGUCGCCGUCGUAGAUCUCCAUCCAGGAAUCGAAGAUCAAGGUCCCGUUCUAGAUCCAAGGAACAUAGGCAUGAAUAUCGAGAAAAUUCUACUUCAUUGGAAAGAUAUCGUUCACAAUCUCAAGAC